rnacentral:rRNA from 4 species
CGACCUGAGCUCAGGCAAGAUUACCCGCUGAACUUAAGCAUAUCAAUAAGCGGAGGAA